UGGCGACCAUAGCGUUUUGGACCCACCUGAUUCCAUCCCGAACUCAGAAGUGAAACGAAACAGCGUCGAUGGUAGUGUGGGGUCUCCCCAUGUGAGAGU
rnacentral:rRNA from 1 species